GCCUCCUUUACCAGGCUGUGGGGGAAAUCCACUUCUGGAGGCCUCAGAAAAAUAGUCUAGUCAAGCUUGUCUCUUUACACCCUUUAUAUGAAUGAAUGCCGGAUACUCGAACAGCAAAGAAGAGGACUGUUUGCUGAGUGAUGUCAAGGGAAGUCCGCUGUUACUCCGGUCUUGUUCCUGUUCCUGGCUGUGCUGGAAUUUUCAUAUGAAGACCUGAGCCUCAUAUGACAACAACAUAUUUGUAUGUGGACAGCGAGAACAAGACGCACUGACCAGCAAGGAUGAAAGGAAACCUGGGGCAGAGAUGGAAGUGAGACUUCAUCUCCAUACAGGUGGGUGGGGAGGCAUCUACCCACGGCUUAGAUUCCCCACCUUUUAUAACCACUCAUUGUAAUUUUGUUUCAUGUCAUCCACUGUAUAAAACAUGUAUGCACUCCGGAUAUUGUGUGUGCCUUAGUGUGUACUGUGAGCUGAAGAGAGGGAGCACUUGUACAACCAUACCUUGAGUCCCCUAGAAAUUGUCAAUGCAGAGAAGUAUUUUUGUGGUCUGUGCACACAUAAAUGAACACGCAGGAUUUUUUUUAAACUCAACAUUACUUAUAUUUGAGCAGCACUGACUUACAUUUUGCACCAGUGACACUUAUUUGUGGUAAAUACAGCUCCAAGUGAAAAUGGUCAUGCCUUGCAAUUUUUGACAAACAUUUGUAUGUGUCUGAGUUAGCUAGAAAUCAAAUUUCACAUGCUGCCAUAUCAAAAGUAUCAUGAUCUUAGAGUCAUGUAUUUUCAAGCGCAAUAAACAGAUUUGCAAGUGUGGUGGGGGUAGAAAAAUUAUUUUGACCAAAAAGUUUAGUUCUUACACCAUCUGUGAUUAACAUAACCAAUAUUAAAUCUUUAGAUGCACAGCUUUCUGAUCACAGAGAACAAAAUUCAUGUUUCACAACAUAUUGUGAUAUGUAACAUUAAGUGAUGUAAUAAGUUAUAUUUGCCAUAUUGCAGCUCUUAUUUCUUAGUCUGACUACACUUCACACAUGUUGUAUUACUAUAAAAAGUCAUAAAUAUAAGCGGACACAUUUUUGUUGCCAAAAGAUGCUUCUGCAGUCUCAAUGGGCUUCGGUAAAAACUUUUUUUUUUUUGGAGCUGCUAGAAGAGCUACUUGGUUACUUCAUUCAUUAAGCAGUCAGAAAUGUUGUUAAAUGAGUGUCUCAAGUUUUAAUCCCAGGAGUGCUGCUUAUUUUUCAAAUAACAGUCUCUCUUUAACUCUGUUAUUUACCCUUAUUAUCUAAGUUAAUUAGAUGAUAACUAACUUAGAUAAUGAGAAAAUAACUUUUGGAUUUGCCUUGCAGUGAGAAGACAAACACAUAGUCACAGGGUCAAAAACACUACUGUCCACCCCUAUGAUGCACCAUUAUCUUGUAUAAAUAAAAAUAAAUCACUAAGGCUGUUAAACUUUUGUCCAGAUAACUGACUAUGCAAACAAUGGAAGCAUUUGUCAUUUAGAAAAUACUGUAUGACAGCAAAGCAUUGACAAUAGUUAAUAAUGAUGCUCUAGCUGCUGUUUGACCUCAUUCUUUGUCCAUUAAAAGCCUGUGUCAUU